UACAGAGGUGGCAAGCGUUGUUCGGAAUUACUGGGCGUAAAGGGCGCGUAGGCGGCCUUCUGAGUCAGACGUGAAAUCCCCCGGCUUAACCUGGGAACUGCGUCUGAUACUGGGAGGCUAGAGUGCGGGAGAGGGAUGCGGAAUUCCAGGUGUAGCGGUGAAAUGCGUAGAUAUCUGGAGGAACACCGGUGGCGAAGGCGGCAUCCUGGACCGACACUGACGCUGAGGCGCGAAAGCUAGGGUAGCAAACGGG
rnacentral:rRNA from 1 species